rnacentral:rRNA from 1 species
AGUGAACGCUGGCGGUAGGCCUAACAUAUGCAAGUCGAACGGCAGCACAGGAGAGCUUGCUCUCUGGGUGGCGAGUGGCGGACGGGUGAGGAAUACAUCGGAAUCUACUCUGUCGGGGGGGAUAACGUAGGGAAACUUACGCUAAUACCGCAUACGACCUACGGGUGAAAGCAGGGGACCUUCGGGCCUUGCGCGAUUGAAUGAGCCGAUGUCGGAUUAGCUAGUUGGCGGGGUAAAGGCCCACCAAGGCGACGAUCCGUAGCUGGUCUGAGAGGAUGAUCAGCCACACUGGAACUGAGACACGGUCCAGACUCCUACGGGAGGCAGCAGUGGGGAAUAUUGGACAAUGGGCUCAAGCCUGAUCCAGCCAUACCGCGUGGGUGAAGAAGGCCUUCGGGUUGUAAAGCCCUUUUGUUGGGAAAGAAAUCCAGCUGGCUAAUACCCGGUUGGGAUGACGGUACCCAAAGAAUAAGCACCGGCUAACUUCGUGCCAGCAGCCGCCGUAA